rnacentral:rRNA from 1 species
CCUACGGGAGGCAGCAGUGAGGAAUAUUGGUCAAUGGACGAGAGCCUGAACCAGCCAAGUCGCGUGAAGGAUGACUGCCCUAGGGGUUGUAAACUUCUUUUAUAUGGGAAUAAAGUGUUCCACGUGUGGGGUUUUGUAUGUACCAUACGAAUAAGGAUCGGCUAACUCCGUGCCAGCAGCCGCGGUAAUACGGAGGAUCCGAGCGUUAUCCGGAUUUAUUGGGUUUAAAGGGAGCGUAGGUGGGUUGUUAAGUCAGGUGGGAAAGUUUGCGGCCCAACCGUAAAAUUGCAGUUGAAACUGGCAGGCUUGAGUACAGUAGAGGUGGGCGGAAUUCGUGGUGUAGCGGUGAAAUGCAUAGAUAUCACGCAGAACUCCGAUUGCGAAGGCAGCUCACUGGACUGCGACUGACACUGAGGCACGAAAGUGUGGGUAUCAAACAGGAUUAGAUACCCUUGUAGUC